rnacentral:rRNA from 1 species
AGGAUUCCCCUAGUAACUGCGAGUGAAGCGGGAAAAGCUCAAAUUUAAAAUCUGGUAGUCUUUGGCUGCCCGAGUUGUAAUCUAGAGAAGCAUUAUCCGCGCUGGACCGUGUACAAGUGUCCUGGAAUGGACCAUCAUAGAGGGUGAGAAUCCCGUCUUUGACACGGACUCCCAGGGCUUUGUGAUGUGCUCUCAAAGAGUCGAGUUGUUUGGGAAUGCAGCUCUAAAUGGGUGGUAAAUUCCAUCUAAAGCUAAAUAUUGGCGAGAGACCGAUAGCGAACAAGUACCGUGAGGGAAAGAUGAAAAGAACUUUGGAAAGAGAGUUAAACAGUACGUGAAAUUGCUGAAAGGGAAACGCUUGAAGUCAGUCGCGUUGGCUGGGGAUCAACCUUGCUUUUUGCUUGGCUUACUUCCCAGUUGACGGGUCAGCAUCAGUUUUGACCGGUGGAUAAAGGCUAGGGGAAUGUGGCACCCUCGGGUGUGUUAUAGCCCUUGGUCAU